rnacentral:rRNA from 1 species
UCCAGACUCCUACGGGAGGCAGCAGUGAGGAAUAUUGGGCAAUGGCGGCAACUCUGACCCAGCCAUGCCGCGUGAGUGAAGAAGGUUUUCGGAUUGUAAAGCUCUUUCGGAUGUGACGAUGAUGACGGUAGCAUCUAAAGAAGCCCCGGCUAACUACGUGCCAGCAGCCGCGGUAAUACGUAGGGGGCAAGCGUUAUCCGGAUUUACUGGGUGUAAAGGGAGCGUAGACGGCCAGACAAGUCAGAAGUGAAAGCCCAGGGCUCAACCCUGGGACUGCUUUUGAAACUGCCGGGCUGGAGUGCAGGAGAGGUAAGCGGAAUUCCUAGUGUAGCGGUGAAAUGCGUAGAUAUUAGGAGGAACACCAGUGGCGAAGGCGGCUUACUGGACUGUAACUGACGUUGAGGCUCGAAAGCGUGGGGAGCAAACAGGAUUAGAUACCCUAGUU